CCACCAGAUCCUAAUGCCCAGAAAUCAGGGCAAAUCCAGAGACCAGGGAAGGUGAAACCUGUGUGGAAAUGGCAAAUCUAUCUGAUGAGAAACAGAUGUACAAGACUCUCUUGUGUUUUUGUGUGAAUCACUGCAGCAGAGGCAGAAACUGAACUUGAAUUACCUACAACCUCCAUCACCUCUACAUGAACAGCUUUCUGAAAAAGCAUGGUCGACAUGGGACACCUUCUUGAGAAAUAAACAGAAAGGAGCAAUUUAUACUGUAAUCCUCUUAAAAAGCAGUACACAACACCCACCUCAAAUCCCAAAACCAAACCCCAAGAACAAAACAGCACAUGCUGUAUUUUUAGAGAACUUUAGUCAGGCGGGGCAGUUUCUCUGUCUCUCCUUGCUCAGUUCAUGACAGCGAUCACUGCCUGCUAAUCAGUCUUAUUUGGAGGAUUUACUCCUUGUUAUGUAAUUCCAGAUAUUUCUUGCAGUACUGAGCUUUUACUGUAUUUAGAUGGGUAAGAAAGGAAGAAUGACUCUACAGAAGGGGUUUCAGAUGCUUUAUUUUUACAGCCGAACACAUAGUUUUCUGAAGUGUUUGGCAUUAAGGGUGCAAUGUAUUAAAAUGAUUGAUUGAUUGCAUUUUAAAAAUAGAAGUACUGUUCUGAUACUGGGAUUAACUAUUAUUAUUAAGAUAUGGCAGAAUUUAAAACAGCUUUGAAUUUGCACCCUCCUGUGAAUGUAAAGUGCCCUUCCCCAUCCCCCUUGCCCACGUUACACACAAACCAGAGUAUUUCAUAGAGCAACAGAGCAAAUGCCUCUCACUUUUCUCCUCACAUGGCCAAUACUAGGACUACAGGAACAACUCCACAGUGCCCCUUCAAUUUCUCUAACGCAUUUUUAGUUUUCUUUCAGCAUAUUUGUAAGCUAUCCUGAUGCCUUUUUUUCCCUGAACAAUGUUAUGUGUUGCUCUAUGAGAGAAGCUUAAUUACAGCUAUUUUGAAGGUUCUUAUUUUUAAAUAUCCUGUACUUUUUUUAUCAAAUCUUGGUUAUUAAAGGGGCUGCAAAUAAUAUUUGGAAUAAAUGACUGUGCUGGA